rnacentral:lncRNA from 1 species
CCUCUGCCAGCUACCUCUCCACAGCACGCGAGAAGGAGAAGCCUCAGGUGGAAGUGAGCUGUGGUAUAAGCUUCCAGCUUUAAUAAGAAGAAAUUACAUGCCUGAAAAAGAAGGUGAGGAGAUGUUAUCAAGUGGAUAACAAGGAAAAAAAGAUGACAGAAGAUACCAGGUGGGCAACAGAAGGAAA